AACACGCAAUGCAUCCUGGGAAGUAGAGGAACCGCGGGCCAAACUAUUUCAAAGCAGAUGAGUUGUGCUUAUCUACCGCAAACUGAUUGGAAUCUGAACAUUCUCCUGAACUGACUUGACCAACGGACUGAGUUGCAUGAAAUCCAGGAGGGUGCGUGUCUUGCCAGAACACCGGCUCCAAUUUAAGAGCAAGCUGCAACCAACAGUCUAUCCACAGUGCGAAGACACUUCGAAGGAAGACCAUACAGAUGCUCCAAUUGUGCAUGCAAAGAUGAACACGGCUCUGAGGCAGCACAUCAAAGCGUGCGUUAAAAUAGCUACAACGUCAGAAGGGCUUCUUUCCAAACCUGCACCUCUUUUGAGAGCAGAAGUUUGCGGCGAGGCGGUGAUGGUGAUGCUGAAUGAAGCUACACGGCCUCAACCUUCACAGUGGAAGAAGCGCUCACAGUGACUCGAGGUACCUUUUCUAUAGUCAAAGCCUUCCCAAUACAGCGAUGCAUAGUCAUGAGGGCCACAGUGAGGAGAGUAAGGCAUAAGGAGAGCCCAUUCUUACUUCUUCAAAAAAGGUAAACAAACUCAAUACCAAGUAGAUUUGUGAGAAGCGCUGUGUGCGCUCUCUACCUAA